UAAUUCACGAUCUUUUUAGUAUUUCGCGAAUUUCUUUCUUUUUUUGUUGUUUUUCCUCUCGAAACUAAACGGUGAGCCAUCUAAAUGGGCCGGCACAGGAGGGAUGGCCCGUGGGCACCAAGAAGCCCAUCAGGCGCUGAACGCAUACCGGGCCUGUUUAAUGGCGCGUUGGGCAGGUCUGUAGCCUGACUAUCUCUCUCGUCUUCCAUUCCCUCAAAACAAAAACAAAAUCUCUCUCGUCUUCCAUUCCCCACGCCGCCCGUCCACUGUCUGUGCUGUCGCCGUUGGGUUCGGCGGCGCGUGGAUCCGGCCGGAGACGCCGUCCCUGCGGGUUGUUCCGAUGCGGCGGCGGCGUGGACCACGACUACUCGAGCUCAGCUCCCGUGCCCCGUAGUGCUUCUCCGACCCCGACCGCCUCGAUCUCCACCGCCGGUGACCCACAGUUGAUAAGUACACCCUUGACCUGAAGCUCUGGCAGAGGAGAUGUCCUAUUAACAUGAAGGGUACGGGGGCAUAGUCGACUGAAAACAAGAGAACAAUGAUAUGGGCUAGCACAAGGAUAGAGGAGGACAAACUGUAUGUAUGUAGUCCAUGUUCAGCGCAUUGCUUGGCGUCGAUCUUCCUACUACUCUGUUCACCCACAAGUUCGAAAACAUCAACCCAGCACUGCAAGUGGACAACAAUGUCAAGAUCUGUCACACCAACAUCAUCAAAGUCCUAGGCGUCGUCGAGAGGGAUGAAGCAAUGACGCUCGUCUACAGGUUCGAGGUGAAUGGCAGCCUUGACUACUGGCUGCAUCAGCGGGAGGGAGGCCGCUGAGCUGGCCAGAGAAGAUGGCCAUUGUCAUCUGCCAUUUGCACCACGGCUGCAAUAAGUCGAUUGUCCAGCACAACAUCUUGCUUGAUCAGAAUUUCAAGGCCGUGAUAUAGCCAGUUUUGUCACUGCAACCAUGAAUAUGGCCAGGUCGACCAACCAUUGCCAAUCACGGACCUGUCUCUUGGUAACUUUGGUUAUGCUGCUCCAGAAUCUUGUACUGCGGCAAUCAUGGACCAGCGGCAAUCACACAAUUCUGUCUUAACUACUCUUCAGUCACCUGGAGUAGUAACUUAUUCUUCUUACUAGAAUCGCGGCAAGCCAGGUGACGGAAAUGGUAGGCGUUUACAGCUUCGGGGUGGUGCUGCUGGAGCUCAACGCCGGACAGGUGGCCAAUGGACAAGUGGCAAUUUGGGCACGUGAGAAAUGCGAUGAAUUGAUGGCAAACCAUCUGAAAACGUUCAAGAUUGCCGUGGACAAGAGCAUCCCUGAUCAAGCGCAAUACAUGAAGUAGAUGACGGGCAUGUUCAGGCUGGGAGUGGAUUGCACUGUCAAGGAUCGGCAGAAAAGGCCGUCCAAGAAGAUGGCUCUCAAACGUCUCAACCGCUACGGUGGGCGUGCCCUAUUCCAUGGCCUCCCCACCUGCUAUCCACUGUACAUCACCAGUGAGGAUGUAGGCAAAUCGAAUGAGAAAGUGGCAUGUGAGCUCAGCUCAGCUGUUGAACUGCCAUUGGCAGAGUUUAUGUUCAGUGGUACGUUGAAGGAUGAUCCAGGAGAUCAGAUGGGGGACUCUGCUUUCUUGCUUUGUUUGGCAAGAAAAGUUUGAGGAUGCCCUAAAGUCGAGGGAGGAUCUUGACCUCUACCAGUUGCACGAGGCAAGGCGGAGGGUUGCGGAGGGUGCCCUAAAGUCGAGGAAGAAUGCGGUGGUGUGCUUGCUUCAGAACUGGAUACUAAUGCUGAAACGUGUUCUUCUGGCCUUACCAAUGACAGAUUCAGAUCAGACUGUUGAAUGAGUUGUGAACUCUUUCCAACCCGAUGUAAUGGAUGUCGUAUUCGUUGGCCAGAGUGUCCAAGUUCCACCAGAUCAUGGAGAUGACGCAAGUGUUUGAAGGCAGCUUGACAGGAUCAUCAGGCGGCUAUUGGAGGUCCUGCAGCAGUUGAUCCUGGCGCCCAGUCGAUCGGCGAGGCCCAGCUCGAAGCCAAGCUCGAGGAGUCGGUCAGUAAGAUCAGAAGGGAUACCAUUGUCUGUGGAAUCCCUGUAAUUGUAACAACUCCUGAUGGUGUGGUGUGGUUUCGUUUGAUCAGAGGAGCUGAUGUGUGUAGAUGGAAGGUUAUCGUCAUUUGCUGCUGUUAUUGACAAGUGUUGCGCCAUCAUGGCAGUUAAAAUUUUGCGAGUUUAUAGCUAGGUUGUAGGAGUAGUAAGUUGUAGAAUUAAAUUGAUUGGAGUUGGUGCAGGGAUACAAUAUGUGUUGAUUUCAUUUUGCUGUACACAUAAACUAGCUAUUACUACAAUGCUACCUGAAAUUCAUUCGGAUAUCAAUAUUCAAAUUGGACGAAUCUGUUUA